UCCGGUUUGUCACCGGCGGUCUCCUUAGAGUUCCCACCAUUACGUGCUGGCAACUAAGGACAAGGGUUGCGCUCGUUGCGGGACUUAACCCAACAUCUCACGACACGAGCUGACGACAGCCAUGCAGCACCUGUGUUCGAGUUCCCGAAGGCACCAAUCCAUCUCUGGAAGGACUGCCCAGGAUAACGGGGAGGAAGGUGGGGAUGACGUGAGUGACCUUUGC
rnacentral:misc_RNA from 1 species